rnacentral:rRNA from 1 species
UAGAGCGGCCAAAGUGCCCGGGAAACACCCGUUCCCAUUUCGAACACGGAAGUUAAGCCGGGCUACGUCCGUGGGAGUACUGGGUAGAACCCGGGAAACCACGGAAGCCGCUCGCC